GGCUGGUGAUGGCGGCGGCUAUGGGUUCCGCGCUGUUGCCCCUCUUGGCGUUUCUCGGGCCCGCGGCCGCGCUCGCCGGAUACAUCGAGGCCCUUGCAGCCAAUGCUGGGACAGGGUUUGCAGUGGCAGAACCUCAAAUUGCCAUGUUCUGUGGGAAGCUAAAUAUGCAUGUGAACAUCCAGACUGGGAAAUGGGAACCUGACACUUCUGGGACCAAGAGCUGCUUUGGAAGAAAGGAGGAGAUUCUGCAAUACUGCCAGGAGAUGUACCCAGACCUUCAGAUCACCAACGUGGUAGAAGCCAACCAGCCCGUCAGCAUUGACAGCUGGUGCAAGCGUGGGAAGAAGCAGUGCAAGGACCACACUCACAUCGUUGUGCCAUACAAGUGCCUGGUGGGUGAGUUUGUAAGUGAUGUCCUGUUGGUGCCCGAGAAGUGCCGGUUCUUCCACAAGGAGCGCAUGGAUGUGUGUGAAAGCCACCAGCACUGGUACACUGUGGCAAAGGAGGCCUGUCUGACAGAAGGGAUGAUCCUGCACAGCUAUGGGAUGCUGCUGCCCUGCGGAGUGGACCAGUUCCAUGGAACAGAAUAUGUGUGCUGUCCUCAGACUAAGGUUGUGGAUGAGGCAGGUGUAGAAGACUUCACAGGAACAGCUGUGGAGGAAGAUGAGGAUGAGGAUGAUGAAGGGGAAGAGGAGGAGGAUGUGGUGGAAGACCGUGAUUACUACUAUUUCCCUACAGAGGCAGGUGUAGAAGACUUCACAGGAACAGCUGUGGAGGAAGAUGAGGAUGAGGAUGAUGAAGGGGAAGAGGAGGAGGAUGUGGUGGAAGACCGUGAUUACUACUAUGACAGCUACAAGGUUGAUGACUACAAUGAAGAGACACCCACAGAGCCCAGUAGUGACAAGGCUAUGUCUGAAAAAGAAGUGAGCAGUGACAUGAAAUCUGUCUGCUCCCAGGAGGCCAUGACAGGGCCCUGCCGGGCUGUGAUGCCUCGUUGGUACUUCGAUCCUAACAAGAGAAAAUGCAUUCGCUUUAUAUAUGGAGGCUGCGGAGGCAACAGGAACAAUUUUGAGUCAGAGGAGUAUUGUAUGGCUGUGUGUAAAAAGAUGAGUAAGUCCUUGCCAACUGAUGAUGUGGAUGUGUAUUUUGAAACCCCUGCUGAUGACAAUGAGCAUGCCCGCUUCCAGAAGGCCAAGGAGCAGCUGGAGGUCAGGCACCACAACCGCAUGGACCGGGUGAAAAAGGAGUGGGAGGAAGCAGAGCACCAGGCUGUUAAUCUCCCCAAGGCAGAAAGGCAGACUCUGAUCCAGCACUUCCAGGCCAUGGUAAAAUCUCUGGAGAAAGAAGCAGCGAGUGAGAAGCAGCAGCUGGUGGAGACUCACCUGGCUCGUGUGGAAUGGUUUGACCUAUUCCCUGCUCCUGUCCUGCAGCCCCACCGCAUCCUGCAGGCCCUGAAGCGCUAUGUCCGUGCCGAGAACAAGGAUAGGCUGCACACCAUCCGCCACUACCAGCAUGUCCUGGCAGUGGAUCCGGAGAAGGCUGCACAGAUGAAAUCCCAGGUGAUGACACAUCUUCAUGUGAUUGAGGAACGGAUGAAUCAAAGCUUGUCUCUGCUCUACAAGGUGCCAUAUGUGGCUGAAGAAAUCCAGGAUGAAAUUGAUGAGCUGCUUCAGGAGCAGCGUGCAGACAUGGAUCAGUUCACAUCCUCCAUUUCUGAGUCCCAGGUGGAUGUCAGAGUGAGCUCUGAGGAGAGUGAAGAAAUUCCCCUGGAUGGCAAACCUUUCCACCCGUUCCAGGUGAAAACCUUCCCAGCCUUGCCUGAAAGUGAAGGUUCUGGCAUGACUGAGCUGGAUGGGCUGAUUGGUGCUGAAGAAAAAGUGAUUAAUAGCAAGAACAAGGUGGAUGAAAAUGUGGUAAUUGAUGAAACCCUUGAUGUGAAGGAGAUGAUUUUCAACGCAGAGCGUGUCGGAGGGCUGGUGGAUGAGCCGGAUAAUGACAACUCCCUCCGUGAUGACUUUGGCUUCAGCAGCAGUGCCCUUAUUGGGCUGUUGGUGAUUGCUGUUGCCAUAGCUACUGUUAUAGUCAUCAGCUUGGUGAUGCUGAGGAAGAGGCAGUAUGGGACUAUCAGCCAUGGAAUUGUGGAGGUUGACCCGAUGCUCACCCCUGAGGAGCGGCAUCUGAGCAAGAUGCAAAACCAUGGCUAUGAGAAUCCCACUUACAAAUACCUGGAGCAGAUGCAGAUAUAAAAGAGAUGAAGAUGGAAUAGCCCCGAUAGGAAAAGGUGCGGGGCGAAGGGCCAAAGUGGUCCAGUGUUUUGGAUCAACUACUGACCAACAGUUGCUUCAAGAGGACUUCAUCUUACAUUCAGAACUCCUGGAUCAUUAAGACUAUAAUUACUACUGUAGAGUUGCAAUUUCCAUUCUUUAAAAUGGGUGAAGAAAUGAUAAUAUAACAAUAUGAUAUAUAAAUCUCCUUAAAUGGGAAAAAUUGAUCUAUUGCAGAUAUUUGACUGAGAUGUAGUUUUCUUUUUUUUUUAAUAAUCUGAAAAAUACCAGUUCUGUUGUACUGUUGUCUGAUACAAGCUCUAUAUAUAUAAAAAUGGGAAAUGUUGAUUUUUAUUUCUGAUAGACCACCUGUAUAUUGAGGGUUGUUUGUACCAGCCCACCUUCAAAAAAGGAGGCAGUUGCGGCUCUUUGGUCAUUUUGGCUUUUGUAUAUAAAGCAUUAUUCUUUUCCUUUUUUUUUUUAAGUGAAUUUCACUGGGACUUGCAAAGAGAUUAAUUUAGGGAUAGAAGCUAUAACAGCAUAAGCAAAGAAGCAAUUGGGAACAGUAACUAACAAAAUUCCCUAUAAUGAGACAAAAAAAAGGAAAAGAGAAAAAAAAGGAAAAAAACCCUCAUCUUCAUAUGCCAGUGGUGUGCACCCUGCUGCUUAGCAGCUUGGGCUCUAGGAAUCAAGACUCCCUGGAGGCAAGGAGUUAAAAGGCUUCUAGCAUCUCUGUUUAUAGUUAUUCUAGUAGAAUGUUAGAACAUGGUUUGUGCAUACUUGGGUCUGCACAUUCCCCUUCGAGAUUCAGUUCUGCUCUAGAGUUGGAAGUUCUGGUAUUGAAUUGAAAUCCUCUGUUCUCAGCCAGUUUCCUUCAGUACUCACCUGGCAUUAACAGCCCCGUCUUGCUACUACUUUCUAAUUUCCCCAGCUCUCCUGCCUCACCAACAUGGUAAGUAGUUAAGAGCCACAGGUUUCUGAGCCUUUGCAUCUCCCUGGGUGAUGUUGGGCCAGAAAUGACAGAUCACUGCAAUAACUGAGGCCUUGGGAGCUAACAAACAGAGAGGUCUCUUAGCUGGGGAUGGAAGAGAGUGACAUGUUGGGAAAGGGAUGCUGCCUACUCUAAGGGAAAUAGAAUGCAUAGGCUCCAAGAAGAACAAAAGGGGCAUUGUUCCACUCACCAUCAUCAUGUCUUUGUAAUGCUUGUAUAGUUGGUGUUAAUGCUCACGGCUUUUUUUAAUCUGGGGGUUCUGGUAACCUGUGGUGUAUUUUUUCUAUUUUUCCUGUGACUUUAUUUUUUCUUCCCCUUUCCGUGUUUCUUCCCACUAUGCACAGAUUUACCUGCAAACUCCUUAGUGUGGUCUGUGGGGAAUGUACAAAGUUUAAACACAUCAAUAAACACUUUAACUUCCAGAUUGCUUCUUCUCUU
rnacentral:lncRNA from 1 species